rnacentral:rRNA from 1 species
CAACCGUGAAGGUCAUUGGAAACUGGAGACUUGAGUGCAGAAGAGGAAAGUGGAUUUCCAUGUGUAGCAGGUGAAAUGCGUAGAGAUAUGGAGGAACACCAGUGGCGGAAGGCGACUUUCUGGAUCUGUAACUGACACUGAAGGCGCGAAAGCGUGGGGAGCAAAACAGGAUAGAUACCCUGGUAGUCCACGCCCGUAAAACGAUGAGUGCUAAGUGUUAGAGGGUUUCCGCCCUUUUAGUGCUGAAGUUAACGCAUUAAGCACUCCGCCUGGGGAGUACGGCCGCAAGGCUGAAACUCAAAGGAAUUGACGGGGGCCCGCACAAGCGGUGGAGCAUGUGGUUUAAUUUCGAAGCAACGCGAAGAACCUUACCAGGUCUUGACAUCCUUUGACAACCCUAGAGAUAGGGCUUCUCCUUCGGGAGCAGAGUGACAGGUGGUGCAUGGUUGUCGUCAGCUCGUGUCGUGAGAUGUUGGGUUAAGUCCCGCAACGAGCGCAACCCUUGAUUUUAGUUGCCAUCAUUUAGUUGGGCACUCUAAGGUGACUGCCGGUGACAAACCGGAGGAAGGUGGGGAUGACGUCAAAUCAUCAUGCCCCUUAUGACCUGGGCUACACACGUGCUACAAUGGACGGUACAAAGAGCUGCAAGACCGCGAGGUGGAGCUAAUCUCAUAAAACCGUUCUCAGUUCGGAUUGUAGGCUGCAACUCGCCUACAUGAAGCUGGAAUCGCUAGUAAUCGCGGAUCAGCAUGCCGCGGUGAAUACGUUCCCGGGCCUUGUACACACCGCCCGUCACACCACGAGAGUUUGUAACACCCGAAGUCGGUGGGGUAACCUUUUGGAGCCAGCCGCCUAAA